UACGUAGGUGGCGAGCGUUAUUCGGAUUUACUGGGCGUAAAGGGUCCGCAGGGGGUUUGCCAAGUCUGAUGUGAAAUACUACGGCUCAACUGUGGAACUGCAUUGGAAACUGGCGGACUAUGAGUGCAUGAGGGGUGAGCAGAAUUCCUGGUGUAGCGGUGGAAUGCGUAGAUAUCAGGAGGAAUACCGAUGGCGAAGGCGGCUCACUGGCAUGCUACUGACCCUCAGUGGACGAAAGCGUGGGGAUCAAACAGGAUUAGAUACCCUGGUAGUCCACGCUGUAAACGGUGCGCACUAGAUGUGGGCGGAACUGAUCCCGUCCGUGUCCAAGCUAACGCGUUAAGUGCGCCGCCUGGGGACUACGGCCGCAAGGCUAAA
rnacentral:rRNA from 1 species